GAUGAACGCUAGCUACAGGCUUAACACAUGCAAGUCGAGGGACCGGCGCACGGGUGAGUAACACGUAUCCAACCUGCCCUUUACUCGGGGAUAGCCUUUCGAAAGAAAGAUUAAUACCCGAUAUAAAGGAUGGGGAUGCGUUCCAUUAGGUUGUUGGGGAGGUAACGGCCACCCAAGCCUUCGAUGGAUAGGGGUUCGGAGAGGAAGGCACCCCACACUGGAACUGAGACCCGGUCCAAACUCCUACGGGGGGGAGCGGUAUGGUAUAUUGGUCAAUGGGCGCUGGCCUGACCCAGCCGAGUAGCGUGAAGGAUGCAUGCGUAGGGGUCGUAAACUUCUUGUAUAUAAGAAUAGGUAUUAUAUGAAUAAGGAUCGGCUAACUCCGUGCCAGCAGCCGCGGUAAUAC
rnacentral:rRNA from 1 species